rnacentral:lncRNA from 1 species
CACUGACAACAUCGACUUUGAAGUUGCACUGACCUGGCCAGCCCUGCCACUUACCAGGUUGGGCUGUGGCUUGCCUUUUCACUUCUUGUGUCCUGUUUAAGAAAUAUCUGCUAUCCCAAGAUUGCAAACUCCUAGAGAAGGGCUCAACAGUGAGUGCUGAGGCUGCACAGAGGAGGAAGGCAGCACAAUGAUGGAAGGCUUCCUAAAGAGACCUUGCCAUCGUAUCCCCUUUUGGAGACACAAGCCAGGAAGGAAGCUCUUCAGUGCAGCUGUGAAUAGAGAAAUGCUGGCUGAGGUUUUGGAGACACUGGGUGAUCAUUCCCAGUGAAAUUUUUAGAUCCCUGGGGACAUGAGCUGCUUUGUCUUUUCCAAGGUCAGGAUAAACAGAAUAACUUCAGGCUUCUCUACCCAGAAAGAACAUGUGGCAUAAAUAUCAACUGCAGAAUAAAUAUGAUUAAUCUGGUA